rnacentral:lncRNA from 1 species
AAACUUCUGAAGCCCAGGGUUCCUGUGUGGGAGCCGGGAGUCUUGGUGAGGAAGACGGGAGGUAGGACUUAAUACUGAAGUAUCUAGCUAUUUUAAACGCAGCAUCACCAGGGCAACUUUCAGUAAGAAAUCUGGUAUCACUGUUGAGGAAGACAUAGCACAAGAGGAAGAGAAUGCUCUCAGGUGAGGACUGUGUUAUUUACUUCAUCCUCUUUUUUUGCUGACAUCCUUUGGUCUCCAGAGUUCGGGGGUUACUCUGAAUUCUAGGAACCUUAACGGUUCCUCUCCUCAGCUGCUGUAACCUACUGUAGUGUCCAGAAGAGAAAAGGAAUCUAAGCUCUCAUGACUAUGACUGCCCCCACUCUAGGAAGCAAAGACUCUGUGUGGCAACCACAGCCCAGUCUCCACCUUCAGUUCUCCCUUCAGACACGGAUUCUUUCCCUACAGUUGCCUGUGUGGAGUAAUGGUCUUUUCCCUUUGAUGCAGACUAUGAGCAUUUUUUUUUUUUUUUUUGAGGGAUAGUCUCACUAGCGUGGGAGUCUACCAGCAAACAACCCUAAAACUGCUUUAUAACAGGACACUCACUGGGCCCAACACUUUAGAUCACAGCAGACAAGCCUAGUGCGGCAGCUUUGAAAUCCC